rnacentral:siRNA from 1 species
GAUGCCGUCAAUGACAGAGGUGAC